AUGCCUGCCUCAGCGUCGGUUUACACCCUCGCCCUCCCCCCYCUUGGGUGUGGAGCGCGGACCUGGCCCUCCCGGCUCGGCCUUCGCUUGCGAAGGUCUCCGGGUUGGCUGAAGCACAGAGGUUUGAGCAUGGACCCCGUUUGCAGGGCAAUGGCUUGGUAGGUAGGCACCCCCUACGCACGCCUGCCGUUGCCCGAGGGGACUUUGCUGGAGGCCCAGCAGGAAUCGGGGUUGGUUUCGGCCGCCCCGACUACKUACACCUUCGACCUGAGCUCAGGCAAGACUACCCGCUGAACUUAAGCAUAUCAAUAAGCGGAGGAAAAGAAACUAACUAGGAUGCCCUUAGUAACGGCGAGCGAACCGGGCAGAGCCCAACUUGAAAAUCUCCAGCCUCCGGCUGGCGAAUUGUAGUCUAGAGAAGUGCUCUCUGCACCAGUCUGGUCCCAAGUCCCCUGGAAAGGGGCGUCAGAGAGGGUGAGAACCCCGUUGGGACCGGAGCCUGGUGCUCCACGAGACGCUUUCGCAGAGUCGGGUUGUUUGGGAAUGCAGCCCAAAGCAGGUGGUAAAUCCCAUCUAAGGCUAAAUACAGACGGGAGACCGAUAGCGAACAAGUACCGUGAGG
rnacentral:rRNA from 1 species